rnacentral:lncRNA from 1 species
UGAUUUGCUGUGUUAUGUAUUUAAACUAGGAUUAAUUCUAUAUGGUACCCUUUGGUUUGGGUAUAAGCAAGAACUAACUAUUACAUGGAUAAGUAUAAGUAUGAGGAUAAGAAAAAUAGCGUUUGGAUGAAAAUUGGGUUGUUUCCGGGGAUAAGAAAAAUAGCGUUUAGAUAGAUAAUAUGGAAUAAGAAAAAUAUUAGAUAGUUUUAUAUAGAAAAUAAAGGUAUUGGUGGGGAUAGUUAUAACCGGUUAUUAUAAGUAACCGAGAAUUACUGUUCUUAGAUAAAAAAUUAGCGUUUGUGUAUAAAAGGGGGGAUAAGGGCCUAUCCCUAUCCCUAUCCCUGUCCCCUAACCAAACACUCUUGUAAAUACCGUGAAUGAUAAAUAUAUUCAUACAAAGUUCAAUUUUUAUAUAUUCUUUCUGCAAAAGUAUUGAUGUUUUCAGAUAUGCCUAUCUGAUUUGUUACUAUUAGAAAACUGUUUAUAUUUGUAAUUUUGCCAUCAUACAUAUAUCUCUCCAAAAAUUAUAAUAAUAUAAUAUAAAAAAGUAAAAAUAUCAAAAACUAAUUAGAAUUAAGUAUUUAAUUUAUGAUUAAUUAAAAUUUUCUAACGAAUUCUAAUCACAGGAAUAUAUUUAAAAAUAUCAUAAUUUUUAUAGAAACUGAAAAUUAAAUUUUAUAAGAAUAUAUUUAUUAUUUACUAUAUUUGCCGGUUAAACUAUCAUAUUAUAUGCUUUUACA